UAUAAAUCAAAUGUUAAUAAAAUAAUAAAAACAUGUAAAGUUCACUACUACGCGGAUGAUACGCAACUAUAUUGCUCGUUUUUUAAAGAGCAAGCUAGGGAGCCGCUUCAAUGUAUUAGGUGGCGACACAUUGGCGGUUGCGGCAGCGGUUACAACCGCGAUAGCGUUCACAUUUUCCGCAAAUUUCGCGACAGUCAGUAGUAUGGAGUUGACAGAAACAGUUGCCAUAAUUUACGCUCUCAAAAUUAAGAAAUCUAAACGAAAAAGAAGGUACUGGGUCCAUCCGUUAUACGAAAGGCUUCUAAAUGAAUGAGCGUUACGUCUCUUGAUGAAUUAGUGACGUUGAUGAGACCUCACUUGCAAAAGUCAAAUAGUCACUUUAGAGAUUGCAUCACUGUGGAAGAAAGAUUAACAGUCACUAUAAGGUAUCUCGCGACUGGAAUGCAUUUUGCUGCUUUGCAGUAUUCAUUUUUAAUGGAAAGAAGUACAAUCGCAAUGAUCAUUAAUGAAUGUUGUCGUGCAUUAUUACAACCACUAGAAAUGCCCGAACCUACUGUUGAAAAAUGGAAAGAAAUAGCAGAGGAAUUUGAUCAGAAAUCUAAUUUCCCCCACUGCUUUGGGGCAGUCGAUGGGAAACAUAUUCGUAUAAUGUCGCCAGAACAUAGCGGAUCGGCAUUUUUUAAUUACAAGAAAUAUUUUUCGCUCGUGCUUAUGGCGAUUUCUGAUGCAAACUAUUGCUUCACAGUAAUAGAUGUAGGAGCAUAUGGACCGGAGUCCGAUUGCAAUGUUUUUAGGCAAAGUACUGUUGGAAGAAAGUUGUAUAACAGUGAGCUUAUAAUACCCAGUCCAUCAGUUUUGGCAGAUAAUUGUGACCAACGUAUUUAUCCCUAUGUGUUGGUGGGCGAUGAAGCUUUUGCUUUACAUCAAAAUUUAUUAAGGCCACAUCCAAAACGUAAUCUGAACGAGAAUAAAAGGAUUUUCAAUUACAGAUUAACAAGAACUAGGAGGUUCGUGGAAUGUUGCCAUUCUGGCCAAUAAGUGGCGUGUGUUUUAUACUAGCAUAUUAGUGCAACCAGAUUUUGCAGUGCUGGUAAUAAAAGCAGCUUGUGUCUUGCAUAACUUUGUUCGAAAACGGGACGAAUACAAAUUUGAAGACACGUUAACUUGCUGCUUAAAUGAUAUAGAUGUACAUGGGACUGGAGGACAACAACUACGAGGACAACAUAUCAGAGAUCUUUUUACUGAGUAUUUUGUAUCGCCUGAAGGCAGUCGGCAAAAUGCUAUGAUAUAGAUAAGUAUUACUGCAUUGUGUUUAUUUAAUAGAUAGGUAUAUUAUUACCUUUGUAAGCAAUUAUUAUAUUAAAACACUUUCUGUACA